rnacentral:rRNA from 1 species
CAGGACGAACGCUGGCGGCGUGCCUAAUACAUGCAAGUCGAGCGGACAGAAGGGAGCUUGCUCCCGGAUGUUAGCGGCGGACGGGUGAGUAACACGUGGGUAACCUGCCUGUAAGACUGGGAUAACUCCGGGAAACCGGAGCUAAUACCGGAUAGUUCCUUGAACCGCAUGGUUCAAGGAUGAAAGACGGUUUCGGCUGUCACUUACAGAUGGACCCGCGGCGCAUUAGCUAGUUGGUGAGGUAACGGCUCACCAAGGCGACGAUGCGUAGCCGACCUGAGAGGGUGAUCGGCCACACUGGGACUGAGACACGGCCCAGACUCCUACGGGAGGCAGCAGUAGGGAAUCUUCCGCAAUGGACGAAAGUCUGACGGAGCAACGCCGCGUGAGUGAUGAAGGUUUUCGGAUCGUAAAGCUCUGUUGUUAGGGAAGAACAAGUGCAAGAGUAACUGCUUGCACCUUGACGGUACCUAACCAGAAAGCCACGGCUAACUACGUGCCAGCAGCCGCGGUAAUACGUAGGUGGCAAGCGUUGUCCGGAAUUAUUGGGCGUAAAGGGCUCGCAGGCGGUUUCUUAAGUCUGAUGUGAAAGCCCCCGGCUCAACCGGGGAGGGUCAUUGGAAACUGGGAAACUUGAGUGCAGAAGAGGAGAGUGGAAUUCCACGUGUAGCGGUGAAAUGCGUAGAGAUGUGGAGGAACACCAGUGGCGAAGGCGACUCUCUGGUCUGUAACUGACGCUGAGGAGCGAAAGCGUGGGGA